rnacentral:lncRNA from 1 species
CAGGGAAUACGAAGGUCGAGUAGGCUUCGUCGGUUUGAGAAGGUGAACGACGAAUCCGAGUGAUCGAAGGUUCAAGUACUGAGCGAAUAUUCAAACGUCUAUUCAUGUGAGAACUUCUUGCCCCUUUGGUUGACACCACCUUAGCCUUAGUCAGUAAGUUCUAGCUAUUACUUUCCUUCGUUCAGGUAUGGGGGCAGUGAAUACCAAGGUCGAGUAGGCUUAGUCGGUUUGAGAAGGUGAACGACGAAUCCGAGUGAUUGAAGGUUCAAGUACUGAGCGUAUAUUCAAACGUCUAUUCAUGUGAGAACUUCUUGCCCCUUUGGUUGACACCACCUUAGCCUUAGUCAGUAAGGGAGGGGGGUGACUAUUAGAUAGGGACUCCGGAAGUUCAUGGGAAGAGGUUAGUGGAAGAGAUCAUCUUUCCGGGGUUGGAGUCACCGAAGUGGACGAUAGGCAAGAGAAGACAGAGGAGUGGACCUG